rnacentral:rRNA from 1 species
UACAGAGACUGCAAGCGUUAUUCGGAAUUACUGGGCGUAAAGCGCACGUAGGCGGCUUUGUAAGUUAGAGGUGAAAGCCCGGGGCUCAACUCCGGAAUUGCCUUUAAGACUGCAUCGCUAGAAUUGUGGAGAGGUAAGUGGAAUUCCGAGUGUAGAGGUGAAAUUCGUAGAUAUUCGGAAGAACACCAGUGGCGAAGGCGACUUACUGGACACAUAUUGACGCUGAGGUGCGAAAGCGUGGGGAGCAAACAGG